rnacentral:sRNA from 10 species
UCUCAUCAUAUAUUUCUUUCUUAUGUUAUGUGUAGUGACGCGGCUAGAUCUUGACUAUCUCAGCAUCUCUUUUCCCUAUGUCUUCUCUCUUUCUUUACUUAACAGCACUUCUUCUUUGAACAUUCUUCCUUUUGCCAAACCUUUCAAAAACGUUUAAGCCCAUUUUUUGCCAUUUUUUAAAAAUUUUUUUGAGCUUUGGGUUUUCUCCAAUCUACAAGCUAAAGUAGAUUUGUCAACUUUGAUGAUGGAAAAAAAAAUUUUUGAACCCACAAAUUUAAGAAGCAUGAACUAUUACAAGAAAGAAAAGUAGUAAUAGUAGUAGUAGUAGUUGGCAAGUGUUUUGUUCAUGAUUUAACAUUCAACAAAGACAUAUUACUUUCACUAAUAUAUAUGCUUAUAUGUGUAUAUUUUUCUCAUUUUUGGCUUAUUUUCAGUUUGCCCUUUUCAGCAGGUUUUGUUUAGGAACCUUAUAUUCUACCUAGGCUUCUCCUUUUGACCUUGCAUCCAUUUGUUAAUGCCACGUUAGCAUAAGCUUGUAGAAGCCACAUAAAAAAAAAAAAAAAACUAAAAGACCUCAGCCCUUUGCUCUUUCUUCUUUUCUUUGCUUUUUCUCUCUUUCCCUGCAAAUUUCACAUUCCUUCUGAUUACUAAACAGUACUUAGAUUAUCAGUCGUUUUUUGCUGCUGCAGCAUUAUCAAGAUUCAUAUGCAAAUAUAGUACGGCAGCCGUGGUCCCGGUACCGCGAUUGUUUUUUUUCAGAUGCCAUAGCUUUUAUUUGAGCAUGAGAAUCUUGAUGAUGCUGCAUCGGCCAUAAAUGACUUCACAAAAAAAUCCAUAUAAAUCUUUAUAGAUCUUGAUUUACACUGCUUUUGCAGCUAUAGAAGCACAUGAUGAUCAGGGAUGCAAUUAUCAAACUUACAGUUUGAAGAAAUUAUGAUUGGGGAUAAAUUUCAAAGCACAGAUUUCAUAAAUAUCCAGGGAAUACUUAACCUUGUAGCAAACGCAUCCAAAGGAGGACCUUGAAAAGAGAAACAGUUUUAGAAGCCCAUGCAUUUGUUAUAAUCUUCCAUGGAGUUUUUGCUUGGAAGCUGCUGUGGAAACUUGGUUGAGGAACUACUGAUGUGAUAUAUGGUUUCAAAGGCAAGUAGUUUUCUUGCUUAUCAGCCAUGGAUUUUUAAGGAAGAAAUAUCUUAAGCCGUAUCAUGUGGGGCAUUUAAUGACAAAAGCUGUUUUGUCAUUUUGACAAGUGAAAAGAAACUGUGAUGAAUCAUUCCUUCUUCAACAGGUCCACUCAGUCUGGGGAAAAACAACUUAAACGUGCACGAUGUGAUCAUAGCAAAUCAAUCUUACUCUGCAGAUGUUCCAUGCAUUCAUAAAUAAUUCAUUUCUGAUUUGUGUAUCUGACUCUUUCAUUUCUUGAUCAAAGCUUUAAUGGCGUAAGGUCAUUAGAUAUCUCAAGUAUAUAUCUAAGUUCAAAAUCUUAUGCCACAGCUUUUGCAUGACAAUCAAAUAUUUGCUUGUAAGUAAUUACAGAAAAUGCAUUUACUGCUAACAGUAUUAAUCUGACUAGUUCAAGUUCACAA